UUAGUUUUAUUCCACAUUUAAUGUACGUAAAAGGGUGUUUUUGUAAAUGCAAAGAUUAAAUCAGACAGCCUCUGAAUUGUAGUCUUGAAAACAUUAGCAAGUUCUUUUAGGUCCAGGGUAGAUACUGCAGUUCACUUAGCCAACUUUCUGCAUUGAGACAUCCUUGCCAGGGAUCCUGUCAGUUAUGCGAAGAUGCGGCACGAGAUAAUUCCUCUUGCUGUGAUGGUUCGUCCUCAAUGACAGGUCCCUUAUAGUAUUUAGGUACAACAAGGUCUUUUGUGCUUGGAAUGCCCUUGAAAAAGCUGCCUCACCUGUUUGUGAAGGGAACCCCAAAGAGAAAGGGAGAGGAAGGGCUGGGUGCAGUGGCUCACAUCUAUAAUCCCAGCACUUUGGGAGGCCGAGGACCUAUUUACUGACACUGCACCGUAAGUAAAAAU
rnacentral:lncRNA from 10 species